AUUUAUAAACUAGCCUUAUUCCAUGGAACUCUAAAUAUUUAAUGCUUCACAUAUAUCAUUUGACUUUUCUGCAUGUGUCAUUAAGAUAGGAGAAAGUGUCCCCUACAGAUAAGGAAAAUGAUGUUAAGACAAAACUGACAACACCUGAAUCAAGUCUCCAGAUAGCCCCAUACUCUUUCCUUCCAAUUAUACUUGCUGCCUUGCUAGUGGUAAGCAAUGAUAACGUAGACAGUAUUAUGUCAUCAAUUAGAGAGUCUCACUUAGCUUGAUAUAAUCAGUUUUUAUUUAAAAAUGAGAGCUUUCCAUGCAAACUGUUUUUCUAUCUUCUAAAAGGCUUGUGACUAAAACUUCACUGACAAGUUUUUCAGGUGAGAUGAGUGUAGGUUAACUACUGAGCAGCCAGAGUCUAGUCAGGCCCCUCACACUUUCCAGUGCUACAAGAAGAUGAGCAGAUGUGGGGUUAGAUGUGGAACCCAGGUUCAUAGCUGUACCUGCCAACCCUAACCUAGAGAAGGGAAGAGAACACUGAUGGUAACCAUGGCAACAGUAACAAUGCUACACAUCUAUCACUUAUUGAUUAUCUAACAAAGUCUUAAAAUAUCAAGUAAUGUAAGCAAAGAACAAUUCAGUGAAAUUUUAGCAAAGGUUAGGCAAAUUUUAUAUGGUCAAGAUAGUACAUUUGCAAACAAGUAGAAGACCUUGUCAAAAAUCUAAAUCUUCUAAUAUCCAGUAACUCUCUUGUCUGAGCCAAU
rnacentral:lncRNA from 1 species